UGGACCGGAGCCGUUGGACUGGACACGAUCCGAAGGGUCAGGGAGUGCGGGAUGCGAGUGUGGAGCUUGGAUUUCAGAGCGUGGCUAGCAGCUAGCAUGAUGGGCGGGGAGCAGGGGGAGGUUCGGUUCGACGGCAUGUUGCUGGCUAUGGUGCAGCAACACGAGGGCGGCGUGCAGGAGCUGGUGAACACUUUCUUCAGCUUCCUUCGACGCAAAACAGACUUCUUUAUUGGAGGAGAAGAAGGCAUGGCAGAAAAGCUUAUCACACAGACCUUCAACCCCCACAGCCAGCUGGCACAGAAGGCCCGGUGGGAGAAGCGAGCUCGGCAGGAGACUGAACGGCAGGAGAAGGCGGAGCGGGCAGCCAGGUUGGCCAAGGAGGCCAAGUCAGAGACCUCUGGGCCCCAGAUCAAGGAACUGACUGAGGAGGAGGUCGAGAGGCUACAGCUGGAAAUUGACCAGAAAAAGGAUGUCGAUAAUCAGGAGGCCCAGCUCAAGAAUGGCAGUCUUGGCUCCCCAGGGAAGCAGGAGGCCGAGGAGGAGGAGGACGAGGAGGACGAGAAGGACAAAGGGAAACUGAAGCCCAACCUUGGCAACGGGGCGGACCUACCCAGUUACCGCUGGACCCGGACCCUGUCGGAGCUGGACCUGGCCGUUCCAUUCUGUGUGAACUUCAGGCUGAAGGGGAAGGACGUGGUGGUGGAUAUCCAGCGGAGGCAUCUCUGGGUGGGGCUCAAGGGACAGCCAGCGAUCGUGGAUGGGGAGCUCUACAACGAGGUGAAGGUGGAGGAGAGCUCAUGGCUCAUCGAGGUGGUGACGGUGCAUCUGGAGAAGAUCAACAAAAUGGAGUGGUGGAGCCGCUUGGUAUCCAGUGACCCCGAGAUCAAUACUAAGAUCAACCCCGAGAACUCCAAGCUGUCGGACCUGGAUAGUGAGACCCAUCGCAUGGUGGAGAAGAUGAUGUAUGACCAGAGACAGAAGUCCAUGGGGCUGCCUACCUCGGAUGAGCAGAAGAAACAGGAGAUUCUGAAGAAGUUCAUGGGUCAGCAUCCAGUGAGAGACUUUUCCAAGCCCAGAUUCAACUAGCCCCUGUGUUUGUUCCCCUGAACUCUCCAGGCUGAGCUCCUGGCUCCUCACUUUCCUCUCCCACCCUCCCUGGGACUGGUGGGCUGAAGGGC